GAAAAAAUAGGCUAACAUGAAGUUUCUUCCCUGGCUUUUGUUUCCAAAUGCCAUUGGUAAUUGAGGAACUCAUGCUAGGUGUUUAGAAGGAAAGAGGAAAGGAUGUGCCUCUGGAAAGUCAGGGAAAAUAGGCUUCCCUUGAGAAUUAAAGAAGUUCCCUUAAGUUGGAACUUGGAUUGACAGUUGUUGGUAUAUAGGAAUGCUAGUGAUUUUUGUACAUUGAUUUUUGUAUCCUGAGACUUUGCUGAAAUUGUUUGUUAACUUAUGGAGUUUAGUGCUUCCUUUAGGAGCUCUUGUAAGGAAGGUCUGGUGGUAACAAAUUCCCUCAGCAUUGCUGGUCUGAAAAGGGCUUCCCUUUUUAGGUGACCUGACUUUUCCCUCUAGCUGCCUUUAACAUUUUCCCUCAUUUCAACCUUGGAGAAUCUGA
rnacentral:lncRNA from 10 species